GCAUGGUGUGAUUAACCUACUAACCAUCCCAGGGCUCGGCCAGGACUCUGUGGCACGCAACGAGAUGCCUGGCCUUCUGUCGAUUGACUAAUCCACUAACCUGGCCCGAGCAUGUCCUACUAACCCUGUGGCAGCCAAACCUUACUAACU
ensembl:misc_RNA predicted gene, 27627